rnacentral:ncRNA from 2 species
CUAUAUCUAGACAUCACGGGCGUCCGGGAAUCCGGUGCGCCGAGUCAUCGGCAAGGCCGGGGCUGUCCCCGCAACUGUAAGCGGAGAGCAUUUCCGUCGCUAGUCACUGGCCGGGCGACCGGCCGGGAAGGCGAGGCGGGGAGGCGAUUCCCGCAAGCCAGGAGACCGAGCCCGUGAUCGCGUCAACGU